AGCUAUUGGAGGCAGUCGACGAAGAUAUAAGCAUAAGUGGUGAACACAAAACGCCAUCCAGACAGGUGUCACCAAACCCGGCACUUCCGAACGCAAUUGCUCGACCGUCCCUAACUCGCUCAUCGCCUGAACGGAAUGGAGAUUUAUUUGCAGCAAGAGACGAGCAGGAGAAACUACUUAAAUAACGACUAGAUUAUCCAUGAACCCCUUGUAAUCUAAUCGGCUUAACCCUUAUCAAACCUUAUAUACCCUUAUAACCUCAACACACUGUAAUCCUAACUAUUUCUUCUUAAAAACCUAUUAUAUUUUUAUGUGUCUAGUAGCGUUUGAUGGAAAGCAAGAGUUAUUUAUAGAUUAUAUCAGAUGAUAAAAGGGGAGGGAUGUAUCAGAGCUCCUGGACAUUUCGCCCGAAAUUUAAAUUGUUAACAUAACUUCUGUCGUUAUUAACCCAUGCAAUGUGAACCCCAUGCAUUCAUAACCCGUGUAAUCUUAACCCAGUGUAAUUCUACAGUUUACGACGUGAACCCUUGUAACCCUUAUUAUAUUUCAAAAAUAUAUUAUGUUAUCAAUAUGUAAAAAUAAAUAGGACAAUAAUCAUAGGGUCACAUACCUUCUAGAAAGAAAAAUACAAAAAAAUUCUGAGAAAGAAGAAAAUUACAAAAAAGAAAUCAAUUUCUUUUUUAAUUAGCGUGGCGGCAAUUUAAAUUGGCCAUCUUGGUUCUUAUUUUUUGGUUUGUAGCUGAAACACUGUCGGUUUAUCAGAUACACCUCGCUGACAGAUACACAGACGGCUCGUAGUAUCAUAGGGUUUCCGUUAUUUACUUUUUUAACUUUAACAAGGACUUAAGAAAGAAGGUAACGACUAGAUAGAGCCUCUUGCUGUUAGACAACCGAUGAAAACGGGCCAGGUUUAUUACUUUAGUGUGCGUGACGAGCUACGUCUAACAAGAGAUUUGAAUGUCACUUUAUGUUAGUUCGCGACAUCGCGUGCAUUGCUGAAAAUAGAGGUUAACUGUUAACCUCUAUUUUUUCGGCGUUUUCCCAACUUUCACAGCCUAUCUAGACGUAUAAGUGAACUAAUCUGUGAACUUUCUUUCUUAACUCCUUGUAAUCUUGUGCCCAAUCCCCGUGACUUCAAACUUGAAGUAAAAUUCCCAAGUCCAAUUUAGAUGUAAAAGACCAACCUUCCAGUAUUAAAAGUAUCCGAAUUCUUCACGCCAACCGUACUAUCGCCGACUUUUGUCGUCUCUUUCUAACGUAAGUGUAUUCUGUGUAAUUAGAAUGGGACGCACUCGUUUUUGGUAGAUUUAGCCCGUGCACUUUUAGAUUUGACGUAAAUGAUAUAAUCGUUACAAUGUGUUAUUUUAAGUGUUUCCCUCACUACUGUUGUCGUUUGUGUAAAAUUUAUGGACGAUGCGUGACACGCCGCAGUGCUACAGUGUAUAUAUAUCAGCUAAAGCAGUAUAGAAACUACGUACAAACGUUCGAAACGACGGAUGCACGCACACAGACGCAGGUCUCAACAAGGCCAAUAAGCGAAGAGACAUUCAUGACACCUGCUUAUGUGUGCGUGCAUUAUAUCUUACGUAAUUUCCAUAAUGUUUCAACUAAUAUAUACUGUGACAGUACUUUCAUCACGUAGCCACGGUAAUGUUAUACAGGGUGUCCCAAAGUUAUAUGACAUGAAGGGAAAGUUAGAAUUACUAACUUUUAAAAAUAACAUAAAGUCUUAUUUCAGUAAAAUAGCCUAUCUUCGAUAUUUAAGGUACUUUCCCUUCAUGUCUCAUAACUUUGGGACACCCUGUAUAUAUGAAUACUGUAUAUUCUAACUCGACUCCUUGUACUUAAUACUUAUGGCAUCCGCGUGGUACGUAAACAGCGAUAGGGCUGUCGGCUUAAAUUAUAUUAAUUUCAUCUACUUUCUAGUUUUGUGGCUGUAAAUAUUAUCGGUGUGUCAAAAAAAUAAUUUAAACAUGGCUUAGGCACGCGUUUUGUUAGUGAUCUAACACUAACGACGUGACGUCUAAAAUGGUGCCUAUAAUAAUAAUAAUAAUUUUAUUUUAUUUUUCCAGUAGAACAUUAAUAAUAAUCUCUAAAGAAUCUUAUAAACUCUUAGAGAAAUCUUAAAAAUUCAACGUGGUGAUAUAUAAUUUAUUCUAUAAAAGUAUUUUCAAUUCGCACGCUCACAAAACCACCACAACGUUCGUUCAUCACUGCGGUAUAUUCGCGAUCGUCUUGUGUACUGAGUGUCUACCGAAUUCGAGCCACGUGGGCAUAAAAUGAUGACGGAUAAUGCGUAAAUCUGGUACCUAUGUUUGUUGAACUUUCUAUUUUUGAUGCCAAUUACAGGAUCUACAUAAAAAUUGUAUAAUAAUUUCUUAUUGUAUUAGAUACUAGCUGACCCGGCAAACGUUGUUUUGCCAUAUAAAUUGUAUUGAUCAUUUGCUUGCUAGUUGAUAAGAGAUGGCGCUAGUUGUAUUCAUUAGCAACAAUCACACUUCUUUUAUAUUUUGUAUAAUUCACACUAUAGUUUUAUAAAUUAUAGCCUAUUUGUUAUUCUGGUGUGUAAGCUAUAUUAUUGUUAAGUUUCAUCAAAAUCUAUUCAGUAGAUUUUGCGUUAAAGAAGUUCAAACAUACAUCCAGACAUACAAAGUUUCACAUUUAUAAUAUUAGUAGGAUAUUCCUAGUUUUAUACUUACUGAUAUUUAACAAAUCAAUUCCGGCGAGUCAUCCGAAGUACACCAGUUUCCUUAAAGGAUAGGCUUUUCCGUAAAGGGUUUAUACAGUUUACAGUAUUCAUAAGGUACAGACGGAAUAUAUAAAGUACAAAGUAGGGACAGAAAAACAAUAUAUUUAUACAUCCUUAAUAUUUAAUCGGCAUUAAGUACUUUAUAAACUUAUAGAAUUAUAUAAACAUUUUGGUAGUUACACUAAUUGCCAGUGAUUGGUAUGACCUACGCACCUCCGGACCUAGCGAAGCGUUACUGUCAACAACUUCUCGAUUUUUCCAAUCUGUCCCAAUGGAAGGUGCGAUGGCAGCUUGUAUGAGCUUUCUUAUGUUACAUAAAAUAUUGAUACUUACCUUGUUUUUAGACUGAUUUUGAGUGCAUGCUAGUCGUAAAUACUCAGUAUUAAUAAUACUACCGUCAAAAUUACAACUUAUGUUUUAUAUAGCGUGGAGAUUCAAUGGCUUCUUAUAUUCAGUUAUGUGUUAUAGUUAUUUAGUUUUAGUUAGAUACCAAGUUUCAAUUAUUUGCUUUAAUUUGUAGACAUUAUUUUGCGCCAAAACAAUUUUUUGAAGUUCUAUUUCUUUAGGCACGUUAUGAAAAAAUUAUAGGAGUGAAAUUUUAAGAUGCGCGCGCAUCACUAUAACACAAAAGUAACGGGUGAAGUUGGUUCCUAAAAUUUUCUGACGUUUGAGACAUUCGUUAUUUUUUUUUUGGUUUCUUCGUCCAUUAUUAGGAUAGGCAAAGGGUUCAGACCGUACAGCCGUAUUCGUUUUUUAAUAAUCAAUAGUCAAAGCCAUCUUUGCAAGAUUUUUACAAAAUUGUUCUUUCUAAAAUAGUUUAGCUCGUUAGGCCAAAGAAGUAGAACUUCUUGCGUGCAUACACACACUUUUUUUUUAAAUUGAGAAACAAUCUUAUAUCCCUGGGGACUGGAGUUAUCCAAUCCUAACUCGAACACCGAUAGUCAGAUGUAAAAAAAACUUUGUACAACCCGUGAAUUGUUAAUAUUAAAUCUUUUGAUCAAAGUACUCAUUCCAUGUUAUUUUCUAACAUUCGUCUCGAAUCGGUACAUUUUUCCUUGGCUAAACUAUACACCUUCUCGUUACAUAAAACGUAUAGAUAUACUAGAAAAGUAACAAAUUUACCAUGACAUUAUAUUUAUGACAUUACAAAAAUCAGUAGUAUUGAGGGUAGAGGCCAGGAGAUUCAUCUCAUAUGGGAGUAAAAUGAUGAAAAAGUGUCCAGCUUAUGCUGUAAAUAACAGUUCAAAAGGCAUCCACAAUGGCGCUGGUGUAGACACAAGAUAUGGUAUGAAGUAUGGUGAAUGCAGCAAUUAUAAACGAAUUGAAGUAUGCAGAGUUAAAAAAGCUAAUAUUAUUGUGGACAAAAGUAGUUAAUUAUUGAAGAUUUCAACAAUUUACGUUGUACAAAAUAAUGUAACAUAACCUUAAAGAAUUAUUAUAGGAAAACGUACACCUAGAUUGAUUAGUAUUAUUUUGUAUUUGGCGCUACUUUAAAGAUUAACCUGAUGCUCCCCUAAUUUAAAGCAUUUUGAUGGACACUUUCAUAUACACAGAUAAUUCUCCUCUACCCUCCAUAAUCAGUAGGUACACAUAAUAGACAUCAAUAUUUUUUAUAUUCUAUGAAAUCAAUAUUAACUAACAAUUAUUUGUACUGUACUUGAAACAAUUUUUUGAUAGAAAUCAAAAAUCCCGAAACCUGAGUUCCAUCAACAACCGUUAUUUUAAAAAGUUGUUAUUUUGAGGGUAGAACAAAAUAUCUCAGCUUAUAUUUUCGUUUGUAGGAUUUGCGGCCUAUUAUAAUUAGAAGUAUAUUAGAUGCAUUUAUGUGAAUAAUAAUAAUUAAGAAUAAUUUAUGUACUUAUUGUUUUGAAUAAAUGAAUAUUUGUUUUAUGUUG